rnacentral:rRNA from 1 species
UUUCUCCUACGGGGGGCAGCAGUGGGGAAUUUUGGACAAUGGGCGCAAGCCUGAUCCAGCUAUUCCGCGUGUGGGAUGAAGGCCCUCGGGUUGUAAACCACUUUUGUAGAGAACGAAAAGACACCUUCGAAUAAAGGGUGUUGCUGACGGUACUCUAAGAAUAAGCACCGGCUAACUACGUGCCAGCAGCCGCGGUAAUACGUAGGGUGCGAGCGUUAAUCGGAAUUACUGGGCGUAAAGGGUGCGUAGGCGGCCUGCUAAGUCUGGAGUGAAAGGUACCGGCUCAACCGGUACAGGCUCUGGAA